rnacentral:lncRNA from 11 species
CACCGCUUUCCCGGCGGCCCCUCCCCGCCCGACUCCAGAAGGCCACCCCCUUUCCGGGAGGAUCCACACAAAGCAACCCAAAGGGGGCCAAACAACACUCGGCCUCCCCACCACCACCAAAGGACCGAGUUCGGGGGUGUUUGGGAGGAGAGGGGGCGGAAGACGCGCACUGGCCCACAAACAACCACCUCCAAAUCCGAACCAUGAAGUCCAAAGAGCAGGGGAAGCAAGCACCAAGCCGGCCGGCCAGCCACUCUCUCCAGCGCCACUUUCUUUCUCCCUGGGGAGAAGCACCCACCUGUCUGGCCCUUGCCCAGGGUUUUCUCCAAGCGGUAGGGUCCCACGUAUUGCGCGUGCUGAGCCCCGCUGCCUUCCUUGCCAGUGGAGGUCAUGUCUACCUGGCGCCCGGGGUUGCGCUUCGGGGGUGCCUGGGCUCCUUCUUCCCACUCACUGCAGUUCUUUAAAUCCCCUUGGCCGCUGCGCACGCAAAGCAGCCAGCCUUCCUCCUUCCCUUCCUUCCUUCCUUGCGUGCGUGCGCCUUUCUCUCUCUCUGGCUCUUGGGCUGAUCUUAGUCCACUUGGAUGGAGAUGCCUUCCUCCUCCUCCUCCGCUUUGCCUCUUCCUUCUCACUUUCUGCCUCGGAAGCGGAUGCCCAGGAGCGGGGACGAGCCCGCGUUCAGUGGAGCAAGGGAAGAGCCGGCGAGCCUGGCAGAAGCAGCAGCAGCAGCGGCGGCAUGGUGCUGGUCACCCGCACUCCUCCUCCUCCUCCUCCCGCUCCUCCGCACGCCUUCCUUCGCUUCUCUCUCUUCUCUUCUCUUCUCUUCUCUCCAGGAGCUGUUCAGAGCGGCGGAAGAGCGGGGCCCCCUUUGCUCCGACUGACGGCACGGGCAGCCAAUCCCCGACAGCACCUCAGCCCGACUCCCCGCCCCACUCCAUUACCUUUUCUUUGCCAUCAGCAUCAGCGGCUGAUGCCGCCGCCGCCGCCGGAGAGCAUCGCAGCCAAUGGCGACAGGCAGCAAGGCGACUCACUCACUCACUAACGGGGAGACGAUGCCUUCUCCCAUCUCAGCAUGCGGAAAAAUGAGGAAGUACUCCAUCAAGGACUCGGUGUCACACUGGAUGAUGAAGCAGCAGCUCUCCCUGUGGCCGGAAUUGAGCAUACCCUCAUGAAUCCGGAAGCUGGAAAAUGUUAAAGUACCUCUGUGUCUCUAUCUGUAUGUCAUAUGUCUAAUGGCAUUGAAUGUUUGCCAUGUAUAUGUAUAUUAUGAUCCGUGCUGAGUCCCCUUUGGGGUGAGAGAGAUAUAAAUACUGUAAAUAAAUAAUAAAUAAAUAAUUGUGCUUUUCCUGCCUGGCAGGGGGUUAGACUAGAUGGCCACGCAAUCUCUUCCAACUCUAUUCUUCUAUUAUUCUAAUUUGGACCCAAGUAAACAUAACAACAGCACACCUCAGGUGCUUCCACACAGCCAUUUAACUCAGAAUAUCAAGGCAGAUAAUCCAC